CUCCUGGAGAGGCUGUGGGUUCGUGGCAUCCGCGCAGCGGCCGCAAGUGUAGCAGGUUUCGUACCCGGUGUUCAUCGCCGUUAAGUCAUCGCUGCUACCACCCAGGCGCGGCUCUAUCCCGCCGCUCCCUCUACCCUCUCGGCACUGCCAGCAGUAAGAAUUUUUGCUACGACACUCUCUUCAGCAGGAGACCCGGCCCAGCAUCUUCUUGAGCUCCUCCUUGAGGUGGAUGGGCAGCUGCAGGUGGCACAGGAUGAUGUGCAUCUUUUCACACGCCGCAUUGCCUGCUCGCUCGCUCCAAGAUCGCUGGCUCCAAGAUCUCGCCUGUCAGGUUCUCCAGCACCGCUGCCAGGUGAUGGCUGUCAGGAAUUGUGGUGCUUGUGAAGUGAUAAACUGAGCCCUUUGGAUUCCAUGAAGUUAUUAAAGAAUAUAGUUUUCAAAUCACGGCAAAAUCGUGAUUUCAGCAACACGCCAAGAUGAAUCAUUGUUUUCAUGGACAACUGUGGGAGGCACUUUGGGUCCCUAUAUCCUGGAGCAUUAGCCCAGCAUGGCCUCGUGCGUACUGGGACUUACACAUACGCACAAACCUGCCCAUCUUGGCCACUGUUAACACGUGCCAUUAACUUCGUGAAACCAUGUCUGACCUAGGGAAGAUAUUCUUGAAAAACGGAUUAGAGUUUGCCAGAUCCUAUGAGUGCGUGACCUCAGAAGAGAAGAGGAGGGGACACUCCAAUGAUAAAGGUUGAAAGGAGCAGAGCCAGUUGGCCAUGGACUGAAACUUUCAGAGCUGAUUCAGAGGAGUUAAUGUUGCCAUGACUAUCUCAGAAGGAGACAUGGACAGAGGAACAGGUAUCUCACUCCCGUAGGUAAGUGAUUGUUGACUCUGGGAGAAAUAUUUUCUCGGCGUCCAGGCCUGUAAUGCCACCCCUUGAGUCUGAGCCAGGAGGAUCCACGGAGGGCAGCAUAGCAGAACUUCAAAACAAAGAAAGGGACAAAAAAGGGAUAACUUUUUUGUCCCUUUUUUCUUUUGGUGUUGUGUGGUUUUGUGGCACUCAGUAGCUUUUCUAAAACUAUGCUAGCCUUACAUUUCUGGGAAAACUCCCUACUUUCCAAGGAUUCUGAAUUCAGUUUGUUAAGUUUGCUGUUCUAUACUUUGUUUUGUUUAAUUCAUUAGUGUGUUUUAUUUGUAGAUUCAAAUCGAAUUUCGGUGGGGUGGGGAAUGGUUGACAGUGUCAUUUUUGGAUGGAACUAUUAAUGGUUUUUGCCUGUUUCAAUCUAAGAUCUCGAACAUAUGUCAUGCCAUUCAGUGUGCUUUAAUGGCAUUAUUUUACAAUGGACACAGUAUCCUACUAUAUGAUUAUAGGACAGUAAUUUACAUUUCUCUAGACUCAUCUCAGUUACUGUCUCCCUUCUACCUCUUCUCCUGUGCUGGAGAUAGAAUUUAAGACCGUUACAAGCGAGGCUGUACCCAUAGUCCAACUGCUCUUACCUGUAUUGACAUAAAGCUAGGUACAGUGAUUAUCUCCCAAAAUUGGGUGAAGUGUAAGCCUGUCUAGGAAAUAUGAGAGUGGCCAUAUUUCUACAUUGAUACCAGUAUAGGUUUUUAAAUAUUCACCAAUCAUAAGCUGAAUGUAGUGGCUCACAUCUGUAAUCCCAGCACUGGAAAGGCUGAGGAUGGAAUAUUGCUAUAACAUGGACGCUAGCAUACUAGGCUGUCUGAUCCUAUGAUCCAAAAUGCAGAAACAAGGAAAGAGAAACAUUUUGUUACUGGUUAUGAAAGCAGAACAUAAUCUCCUUUACUGUUUUUACUUUGUGUUUCCUUGAUUGCUAAUUAAAUAAAACAGGUAAAAGUGUUUCUUGGCUCUUAUUUUGAGUUUUCCUCCAUUUGAUUUUUAAAAAUAUUUUUGUUUGUAUCUGUGAAUGACUGAGUGCAAAUGCUCACAAGUGUUUAGAUAGCAGAGCAUAUGUUUUAAGAGUUGAUUUUCUCCUUCUGUCUUUUUUUUAAUUUACUCAUUUAUUAUAUAUAAGUACACUGUAGCUAUCUUCAGACACACCAGAAGAGGGCAUCGGAUCUCUUUACAGAUGGUGUGAGCCACCAUGUGGUUGCUGGGAAUUGAACUCAGGACCUCUGGAAGAGCAGUCGGGUGCCCUUAACCGCUGAGCCAUCUCUCCAGCCCUCUCCUUCUGUCUUAUUGAGAGUUUCUCUUGUUUCUCCAGCUACACUGUCUCUACUCCAAGCUUGCUAGUGCUCCUUUUCCAGGCUAGUUUGCCUGGGAGCUUCAAGGCAAUUUUGUCCGGGUACUGGGGUUACAGAUGAAUCCCAGCAAGUCAAUCUUUUUACAUGGCUAGCCCGUUUACCCGCUGAGCCAUGCCCUUGGCCUUUCUUUCUUUCUUUUUUUUUUUUAAGAUUUAUUUAUUUAUUAUAUACACUGCUGUUGUUCUCAGACACACCAGAAGAAGGCAUCAGAUCUCAUUACAGAUGGUUGUGAGCCACCAUGUGGUUGCUGGGAUUUGAACUCAGGACCCCUGGAAAAGCAGUCAGUGCUCUUAACCACUGAGCCGUCUCUCCAGCCCGCCCUUGGCCUUUCUUUACUGACUUUGCAGUGUGUGCUCUCACGGAUAAGGAAAUCAGAGUUCAUUUUCUGUUUGGUUGGAUUCUUUGUGAAUUUGGUUUCUUUGGUUGUUUUGUGAGACAGGGUAUCACAGGCUAGGGUGUCUUGGAUCUCACUGUACUGCAGAGUGCUCACAAACUCAGCACUUCUUGUUUUAGGAUUAAGGUCGAACCACUAGGCUUGGCCUCUACUUGCUUUUAUUAUCUUCUGUUUCAGAUAUUUUGUCUGCCUAUCCUACAAAUACUUAUGUAGCUUAACUGUAUUUAAGAAUGCUUAAGCAUUCUUUUCUUUGUGACACUCAGAAUUUUUGUUGGUUUCUUUGUUCUUCUUUGACAUGGUGUUUUCCGCUGUAGUCAAGUCCAUCCUCGAACUCAGAAUCCUCCUGCUUUACCAUAACCUCCAGGAACUAGGAUUACAGGCAUGUGUCACCAAUAUGCUUAAUUUGUACUUACUUUUCAUGAGAGUAACAUAAGUAUAAUUUCCUAUAGUUUAUAACGAUCUUUUUAGCAGCAGGACCUCAGUGUACACUGGGCAAACGGGCUACUAACUUAGGUAUAUGCAUAGCCGUCACAAAGUUUUUAUCAUAACUUGCCUUCUGUGCACACUGGGCUUGUAAAUGCUACCAAAGUAAGUAGCAGUCUACCAUUGAGCUGGAUAAUUUCCUUCUCUAUUUUUUAACACUUUGUUUUUGCAUGUCAGUGAAUUGCCUAGGCAAUGAUUAAACUCAACUCACUCCUCUAUAGCCUGUGCAGUCUUGAACUUGUGAUGCUCCUGACUUAGGUUCAAUUCCACACCCCAAUGCCUGCAAUUAUAAAUGUGUGCCAUGAUUUGUGACGUAUUUUGUGCAUGCAAUUUAUAUUUUUUAAAUUUAUAUGUACUAGUGGCUUGGCUACAUAUGUAUGUAUGUAUGUGUAUACCUCAUGUAUGCUUGUAUUGAAUUCCUUAGAACUGGAGCUCCAGGUGGUUGUGAGCCUCCAGGUGGGUGCUGGGGUCACCUCCUCUUGCCAGUGCUCUUCCCCGCUCACCCUCAUCUGAACCCUACUGUAGUUGGUAUGUUCAUGUCAGCACAUUCAGGGCUGGGGUCAGGGAUGCUGCCAAGAGGAUCUGUGAAGGUCCCCUAGUACUGAGUUCCCAGUGUUCACUUCUAACAGGAUAUAAAGAAAGUCCCGGGGUUGGGGAUUUAGCUCAGCGGUAGAGCGCUUGCAAGGCCCUGGGUUCGGUCCCCAGCUCCGGAAAAAAAAAAAAAAAAAAGAAACAAAGAAAGUCCCUCUUUGAGUAUCAGCCCGGCUUUGCUAACACUGGCGUUAGGUUCUAGAGUUUUUUGAGUUUUCAUAUUGGGUAUGACAGUUUAGAUUUAAUGGAUUGUAUGGGUUCUGCUGUUGUAGCAUGAACACCAAUACAGGCAAUACAUAGAUGUGAGGUUGACACAAUUUGAUAAAAAGUGAGUGAGCUGUAUUUGUGUCCAGACUACAAAUUGCCUGUACCUGCUUUAUUACAUCUUGCUCUUAAUACCCUCUGUUUCUUUUUCAAAUGUCUGUGCAUCUGAUCGUCUGCUAUAACCUUUUAUACGAUUCAUUUCUUUUCUCUGCAUGGCUGCUUUGCCUGUGUUGGCAAGUGUACAGUACCCGCCGAUGCUAGAAGAUACCUAAAACUGGAGUUAUACAACCUGGGUCCUAGCUAAGAACGGGAAGUGCUCUUAACUGCACUCUCUCCAGCCUCUCCUUUCUAAAUUGCUGGGAGAUUUUUUUUCUUUAAAUUGUUACCUGUUUUCUUUGAGGCUCUGGCUCUGUAGCCCAGGCCUGGAACUCCCUAUGUUUGACUUCCAAGCUGCAGUGAUUCUCAGGACUCCAGAAGAAUUAGGACUCAACUGCAAUAUGCUUUUAUCUCUUCCGUUGAUUCACUCCAGGGGUUUUUGUUUUGUUUUGUUUUUUGUUUUUGCUGAUGACCUGUUUCCAUGUCAGGUUUUUGUUUUGUUGUGUUUUAUUUUUUCAGUGAACAACCAUAUUAGCUUACCUAGACGCUUCCUCUUUCAUUAGCUCUCGUGCUGAGCUGUGAAAGUGAUUCAUUAUUUUAGUAUCAUUCCAAGUUGCUGCAUUCCUUUUGUCCUAGCUUACAGUGAUAAAAUAUUAACCAAAUCCACGUGAGGAAGGAACGAGCCAAGGCAAGAACCUGGAGGUAGGGAAUGAGGAGAGCACGAACCAAUUCUAACUGGCUUCAUCCCAUGCAUUGCUCAGCUUUCUUUCUCAUACAGCUAGGCCUCCUGCCGAGAAGUGGCACUUACCACAGGCCAAUAUAAUGGAGACACUUCUUCAGUUAAGGGUCCGCUUCCCAGGUAUGAUGAAAAGCAAAAUUAGCUGUCACACCAUUUGAAGAGGGUUCUUCUCGACCAUAUUUCAUUGGAGGAGCAGGCUGAAGUUUCUGGAGCUUGUCUCUAGUGUAGUAUCAUGACUGCUGCAGCUUCUAUCUGGUCCUCUCUGCAUGUCACCUUGCUUCUGCUGUAUACUGGUGCCCUCAUAAUGUAGCUUUUCCCUCCGAUUGACUUAAUUUUAUUUUUACUCCUACCUACCCUGAGCUUUUGUGGUCUGUGGGCAUGGCCUUCUUGCUCCUGCGUCUUUCCCUAUGUAGACUGUGUGCUGUGGCUCUCAGUGCCCCAGUAUUGUCAGUUGUUAAGUCUCAUUCCUCUUGGCUGUUACAUUCCUGAGAAUGGAGGUGCAGCAGAUCCUCCUAGGACGGUUUCUACCAUUGCUCGUUAUGUGUGAAUGGAUUUUCUCUUUAUGUGUAAGUCGAAAUUGCUUCAGCCCAAAACAAUCAAGCUAAUGGAAAUACAAUCAGUUUUAUUCAAUUACUGUAAAACAUUAAAGGCAACCUAACCCUGGAGUGGUUAUCAUAUCACACUAUCUUCGGACCUUGCCCAUCACACAGAUAAUUCUGAAACCUCAUUCUCUUAGCAUUCAUUGUCUUGCUUUCUCCCUGCUGCUACCGGACUUCCUCAUUCUGUUUACCUACUGUGCAUGAAUGGAUUCUGUUUUCGCAAAGCUCUUGAAUCUCCUUUGCACAUUGGUUCAUGACUUGAGUUUAGGUCUUUUAUGAUUAUUCCAUGGGCUUUAGUAUUUUCUUUCAUAUUUCCAUUUACCCCAUUAGCUGGUUUUUGUUUCUCUGUUUUGUUGUUGUUUUUCUAUUUUAUUUUUGAAACAUAGCAUCCUGUGGCUGACAUCAAAGUUACUAUGGAAACUGAGUCUAGUCUCCCAGUUCUAAUCAUGAUAUCUCUGCCUCCCAAACAUGAGAAUAUAUGUAUACACUACCAUACCUAAUUUGUUUGUAUUUAUUUGUUUAAUGGAGCUGGGGAUUGGACCAAAGGUCUCACACAUAGCAGACAAGUUUUCUACCCCUGAGCUAUAUUCCAAGUCCUUGUUUUUUGAAAUUUUAAAUUAUAUAAAAUUCUGUCACUUUGUCCUUGUUUGAGGAAAAUUUCUGAGGCAUGACAAACCUUAGGCUCUUGACCGGCCUAUGGAUACAUGUCCUUGAAUCUGAUCUUUUUUGUGGUGGUGCUCAGGUUGGGGGGGGGGAUCUGAAGCUGGCUUGGGAGACGCUAGAAUACUGGUUUUAUUGUUUUUUGAAGUUUCAUUAGAUUUUGAAUUGAACAUGGGGAGCACAGAUACUGUUUAUUGAAUUUUGAAUAGGUUUAAAUCUGAUUGAUUGGACUGAUUUAAAACUUCAUGUUGCAGUAACUUGCAGGUCUCUCAAAGACCUGCUUUCUAGUGGGCAGAAGUUGUUUUGUUUGGAAUAGUUUUUUCCUAGGCUAAUCUUACAUUCAUCGUAGCCCUAGCUAGCCCUGCUCUCCUAAGUACUGGCAUGCGGCCAUUAUAGACAUGUACUACCAUCUGUUACAGGGAAAGACAGAGCAAAACUUCCUCCAUCUUGUAUUCUUGCUGCCGCCAUUUCAGGUUUAAGUAGAAUGUCAUCCUCAAAUAGAGAAUCCUAUGGAAAUCCUUGGAAGCCAAGGUCAGAAUGUCCUUGCUGACUUAUUCUCACUUCUCUUUAAUUGCCUAUUUGUGCAGGAGCCCCUCCAGCAAACUACUUAUCUCAGUUUCCCUAAACUGCCUGCAAAUGCAGAAGAACACCCUCCAGGUAACUGCUUAUCUUAGUGACGGGUAGGCUAAAGUGCUUUCUUCCUGUGACACCUCCCUCCUCCCCCAACUGCCAACUGACAUGCCAGAAUAUGUUUUUGACCUUCAAAACCCUUGAGCUCUGGACACUCACUGUUCCUAGGUUCCCAAAUACUUAGGUAUAGACCCAGCCAGUGGGAUUGCAGACUUCCAAUUGACUAUAGACUGAGUGGUCAUUUCUGCUCACCCUGUUUGCUUUCUUCAUUCCUCUUCCUCCCUUCUUCCCUGGCAAAAUCUAGGGUGCUAUUUUUCUUUAAAUGUUCUUCUGGGAUAUCAGGAAAUGAGUCAUGCUUUUCCGCUGAGGACUGUAGCUCAGCUGCUGAAGUACCUGCCUGGUAUCUGAAGGCCUCCAAUUCAUCCAACAGUUUGGGUUACGGGUAGCAAAUAACAGGACAGGAAUGUUAUAGAGGGUCUGUCUUUUCCUUUGCUGUCCCUCUUCCCGUUCUGUCUUGUUUUCUAUUUCUCUUUCUAAGGCCUCUUUGCAUAUCCCUGUCUGGCCUGGAACUUGCUCUCUAACUCCUGCUACUCUGUCAUUCUGCCCCUGAUUUUUGGGAGCUGUAUGCCACUGUGCACACCUUCAUGGCUAUGGCUUACCAAAUUGUCAGAAAAAAAAGAAUUCUUUUAUAUCUAAUUCUUUAAACCAUGCUCCUACUGGGAGACUGGUCUGUUUUGUUUGGUUUUCUUUCUCUCUUCCUUCCUUUCUUUCUUUCUUUCUUUUUCUUUCUUUCGUUUGAGUCUUACUCUAACUCAGGCUGAUCUGAAACUCAGAAUAAUCCAGCUGCUUCUGACUCCUGAGGGUUGGGAUUACAGACAUGAGCCAUGUUUUUCUUCUAAAGAUUUAUUCAUUUAUUCUAUAUAAGUACACUGUAGCUGUCUUCAGACACACCAGAAGAGGGCAACAGAUCCCAUUACAGAUGGUUGUGAGCCACCAUGUGGUUGCUGGGAUUUGAACUCAGGACCCCUGGAAGAGCAUUCAGUGCUCUUAACCGCUGAGCCAUCUCUCCAGCCCCAUGUUAUUCUUUUUGCAUUGGAUUCCUAUAAUAACCUCCAUAGUAAUAUAAAGUAUUUUGGCCCUCUUGGCAUAGGGGGCUAACGGUGACUGGGAUAACAACAUGCAGUUCCAGGUGUAAGGGGAGCUGGAUAUGGUAGCAUCACUUAGGAAUGGGAAUUUGCACUGGAGACACUCUAGGAAAUGGAGCAGCAGAAUGUUGAUGCUAUGGCCUGUACCAUUCAUAUAUUACCUAGAUGAGCUACCUUGUCUCUGUGCUUAGUGUUUGUGUUUUAUGUCUUCUGUUAGGUUCCAGUUUUGUUUUUUUCCUAGUUCAUAGCUUUUUAUGGCUUCAUCAUUUCCUUAUGUUUUGCUUGCUUGUGCUUCCUAUUAGUUUUAGCCCUUUGUGUUGCGUGCUGACUUUCAAUGAAUGUAUCCUUCUCCUUGACCUCCCUUUACUGAUUCCUGUGAAUAACCCAGUUCCAGUAACUGAGAACUCUUUGCUAGACCUGUCCGGUUGCAGGUUAACGAGAACAGUUUGUAGAUCUUGGUGUUAUGUUUUUUGGUUAAUAUGAUGUUGCGUCUGCCUUUACUCUGCUUAUUUCUUAUGGUUUCUAACGUAUGGUUAACAACUGACUUCUUCCAUCCUCUGUUUCAGGGGUUUCAGUUGCAAAUGCCUGCAGGAUCCAGAUGUGUGAGAUGGUCCUGGUAUUCUCUCUCUUUUCUUUCUCAUGAAAAGCUGGGUUUUUGUUGUGUUUUUCCUUUGCUGUUCUUUAAUUUAUCAUAGAGAUUACUGGAUGCCAAGGGUCAAGUGUUGGAUCUAAGAGGAUGGGAGAGUAUUUGAGACCCCGAUCAAUUUAAUGUGCAAAAUGAAUCUAAAGAGAAAGGCUAAUAUUUGCUGCUGUUAAUUGUCUGGAAAUGUGGAUCCAGGAUUGCCAGGACUUCCGGUUCACUACAAGGGAAACUUGUAACUUCAAGGUUUUUGUUGCUUUGCAUGCCUCUAGACAAUAGAAUAUGUUCCUAAAUGCUUUAAGAAUCGUACAAUCUGUCUAUUUGCAGUUGUGUUACUGCGAUGUUAACUGUAUUCUUAUACUGUUAACCAAGGGUAUGUGGAACACUUCCUGUUUCACUUAGCUGAGCCCUGACAGUUUCCUUUGGGCAGAGUUUAGAACUGGACCACAAUUUGAAUACAUCUGUGUAAGUUAGGAUGAAAUAAUCUAGGGAAAAUAUAGAUUUUUAUACAUAUAGAAAAACAGAAGAAGAACUGCUGGUUGUUUAGGGAGCUUGUCCCAGCUCAGCUAGCCGAGAUUAUAAGCAUUUGCCAUCAUGCCAGGCAAAGUCUUGAGGUUUUUGUUUUUUAAUGUUCUUCUGAAAUAACAGACAGGAGGUCUAAAUUUCCAGAGAGGAAUUGUUUUAAUUAUUAGAGUAUUUGGCCACUAUAUUUUCCUUUGGGUCAAUCUAACACAAUGGGGGAUAAAUAAGAAAAGAUACAUCUUACAGGCUGUUUCCACUGAGUCCAAGCCACAGUAGGGCCAUUUUAAAGCGACAUUUAGAAUGUAUCACAUUGUAUAGUAAGCUGUUUUCCUUUUAUGUUACUUACCCAGUUAGAGCUUUUAACUUUCUUUGGCGUCUAUGUGUGCGUGUGGUGCAUAUACAUAUUUGUUUCCUGUGGGGGGUGUUUAUUGAUUACCAGUUGUCUUCCUCAGAUAAUUAACAACUUAUAUUGAAGCAGAGUCUCUCAGUGAGGAUCCCUAGUCCGAGCUUUUAAGCACAGGGAUUGUUAGUGCACGUUCAUGUCCACCCUAAGUGGCAUUCAGCUUGUGCUGGGGAUCCUGACCUGAGCUCUUAAAUUUUACCAGUAAAUACUUAGCAAACUGAGCCCCCUCUUCCGCCCCAAGUUGCCCUCUCCCUCCACUUCUUUAUUAGAGGGGAGAGGGAUGGAGAGGAUGCAGUGUGAGAUAAGAACGUGCACAUGUGUGAAUGCUUGACCUGUGUGUGCAUGUGUGGAAGGGCCGCAGCAGGCUCCUGGAGAUUCUGCUGGACAUAGAGUCUAUUCUCUCUCCCAUCUGUGUCCUUGUGAUUGAGCUCCAGUUGUCAGCAUUGUGACUGGUGCAUUUACCUGCUGAGCCAUGUUACUGUUACCCAAGUUUAUUGGUUUUGGGGUGUUUUUCGUCCCUUCUGCUGCUAGGGAAGGAACUCAGGACCAUGUGCUAAGCAUGUGCUAGGCAGAAACAGUCUAUUAUUGACAGAGCUACAUGCAUUGAGGACUACUGGGAAUUAAACCUUUUGAGCUAUGCCCUUUAAGUUUCCCAUGAUGCCCCUUAUGCGCCUGCCUCAGCCAUCUGAGUAGCUGGAGUUAUGGGCCUACACUCUCAGUCCACUCCCUAGUCCUUUUUAUUAUGACAGGCUCACAUCAGGCUGGUUUAGAACACAAUCCUGCUGUCUCUUCAGAAGGCUAAGAUUACAGGUUUGUCAGAUCUGAAUCAAUUCAGUAAUUUUAAAUGCAUGCUAUUUACAAGAGUUUACCUAGAAGUUGAUCAUCAGUUGUCUCAUAGAUAGUAAAGGAUAGGGAAGUUUGAGAAAUUCAUCAAUCUUUUACUCUCCCUCAAAAAGUUUUCUCAUUCAUAACUAAAUCCAUUGUAUGUAGCCUCUGAUUUGGGGCUCAGUGUCUCUGGGUAGAUUUCUAGGUUGCCAUGGUGUUGAAGUCUUGUGGCAGUGAUCCUAAGCUGUUUUAGCUGCCUUUUGCCUUGAGCUUUUCAUAUUACUUGGUGUCUAAUUUUUCCUUAUUAUGCACACAAGUCCUGGUUUGUUUUUGUAAUUAACUCUUAAAGGUUAUAUCUCUGGCUGCUUCCUUCUGAAUGUCAACAGUUGACUCUCACACCCUCAUGUGGCUGCUAAAGAUGUCCCAGUUUCCGGCAGCAGGGAGACAGAGUGUGAUCUCUAUCCACUUAGAGAAUGCUAUGCCAGUAAAGCUUCGUUCUUGAAUUUCAGGGUGAGCCUGGUGAAGCAAAGGUAGUUAGCUUAUUAAGUAAAGGCAGAGAAGUGGGGAAAGGACAAGGACAGUACACAGUCUCAAGGCUCCUUGAGAGUUGAAGUUAAAUUAUGUACAUCUACAUAGAUGGUCCCUGGCUUUUUAAACUGUGUCACAAAGGAUUACAACAAGAAUUAGUUGAGUUUUCAUGUUUAAAAUUUUAAUAAUUAUUUGAGCAGGUUUACUUAUUUUACAUCUUUGAGAAUUUUAUUUGUGUAUAUGAGUACAUUGUCACUGUCUUCAGACACAGCAGAAGAAGGCAUCAGAUCCCAUUACAGUUGGUCGUGAGCCACCAUGUGGUUGCUGGGAUUUGAACUCAGGACCUCUGGAAAAGCAGUCAGUGCUCUUAACCGCUGAGCCAUUUCUCCAGCCCAGAGGAGUUUCUAUGAGUGUGGCUUAAGGUGAGCCCACCUUCCUGAGUGAUUGUCCCUUGGCAAAGCGCAUGACCCAGCCCAACGUGAUUAAUUUGUAAGGGAGGAAACAAUGGCAUGGCUGCACCCAGAGGUAAAUUCCAUUCUUUCUGCUGGUAGAUAAGAGACUUCCAUUAAUGUGCCUUCAAUACUACUGCCGUAACAUCUCUCCUAUUGUUUUCUUUAUACUUUAUAGACAAGUCAUCCAACUAGUGAAGGUCGAAAUUUGCUCAAAGAGUGCCUUCUCUGAGUACAAUCAGACAGUAGCCUGCCAUGCUAGUGCUUUUGUCUUUGCUUUCCAUAUACUUUCUUUUCUGUUUGUUUGGCUUUUGCUUUUCAAUUUCACCCUCAAUCUUUGUCAUUCAUUUUCCAAUUUAAAGUUUCCCUUGCCAAUGAGACUCCUUUUAUUUGCAUUUUGAUUGAUUAUUUACUAGCUGGAGGCUCCCUGCACUUGGUGAAAGGGUAGAGUUCCCCCUUCCUUUUUUUUUUUCCAGAGCUAAGGACCAAACCCAGGGCCUUGUGCUUGCUAGGCAAGCGCUCUACCACUGAGCUAAAUCCCCAGCCCCGGUUUUGUCUUUGGAACUUUGUAGAUAGUCUUGGUGUUUUUUGUAUUUUCCCAGUGAUCAGUCUUUCCUAAUAACUUACAGUGCAAUCACACUUGCAAAUGGUACUCUUAACAUGAGGCUUUUCCCAAACUGUAGUAUAUUGACUUCUGAAUAGAGAAGUCUCCGCUAAAGGAGCACAGUUUGUUUGCUUACACAUUUAAAAAAUUAGAAUUUGUUUGUGUGUAGGGAACAUGUACAUCGGGCUUGGAGAGUAAGUUGAUAGCUCUCAGUUCUCUUCACCAAACUGGAUCCAACUUGGCAGUGUGCAUCUUUACCCAAUGAACAAACUUACCCGCCAAGUGUUUUUAAAACAAUAUGACCAUAGCCUUGGUUUGCUGACUAAAGUGCCCCUGUGUUGCAGCUGUCAUAAGAAGCGUUGCUCCUUGCUUUUUGGCUAGAUUACCUCUCAACUUUUUCUUCUCGGGAUUGCCUCUUAGUCUACUACAGAUCCACAGAGACAACAAAGGUUCUUGUGAGACGCAUGCUAUCAGUCAGGCCCUGCCUUGUCUGUGUUUUUUUCCAGGCCCAGUGCCCCAGCUCUAGGUUUUCAACCUCCCUUUAACUAUUUUGGGUUUUCUCUUUCCUUAUGGCAGUGGGUCUCAACCUGUGAGUCUUGACCCUUUAGCUGUUGCCUACAAACAUUGGAAAUAAUAAAUUUAUAAUAGAAAAAUCACACGCUUAAAAUACCAAUGAGAAUCUUUUUAUGGUUGUGGGGGUCACCGCAACAUGAGGAACUCUCUUAAAGGGUCACAGCAUUGGAAGGGUUGAGAGCUACUGCUCCAUGGAAACUUAAGGAAGUUAUUCUGCCACAAAAGUCACGUGGAUUAACCAUGGCUCAAGCCAUUCCAAAUAUGAGACUUGAUAAUUUUUACUCUGCCACUUGAUCUUUUUAAUGUGCUGUCACAGGAAAACGUGAGCAGAAUCUAAGAGAUUCCUUUAAUUACAAGGUACAAAUGUCUGCUUGGUGUUAGAUUUGCAAAGGAGGCAACUACUGGCUCUUUGGAAACUGUGCUCUAUGCGUCUUUAGAAAAUCUGUAUCCUUUAUGCCCGCUGCUAGCCCCAGAGCCUUAAGACAAGGGUAAGUCAUUUGAGAGAAGGAAUACAGAUCCUUAUAUUAAAGGUGUAUUCAUUGGGCCCUGUUGAUUUUUUUUUUUUUUUUAAUGUGUGAAGGUUAAAAUGUGUUAGUCAGGCUCCUUUCCUACUGUGGGAUGGUGAGCUGAUUCAAAAGGAAAGAAAGUACAUCACCCCUCUCAUAUUUUAAUAGCUUGGUUUGUCAUCUCUUAAGAAGCAAAUGGAAAUCCUAGGAAUAUAAUAGGAAAUCUUAUAGAUAUGGGUGAUACAUUUAAUAUCGAACAUUUAAACAACAGAUAUAAAUGCAGCCAUUAGAAGCCAUCUGCUUCAACAGCUUUAAGAAAAAGUAGCCAAGCCCAGACUGUUGUAGACAUUUAGCACAGGCCAACCUAGGAAGUGUUGUGAAGUGUUAGCCAUGACCCACAGCCUAGCAACAUGACUAAGCACUUACUUUUUUUCUCUUUACGCAUAAGGAUAUUACUUUUUAAGUUAAUGUAUGAUGGUAUUCCUUUGUCAGAGCAUCGGCAGAGAAAAAUCAUAUGCUAACAAAACCAGUACCUUGGGUUUUUUUCCCUAGAGUAAAAUACUAUGUAAAGAAACUCAUUAUAACCUGGGUGUCCUGGUGACAUUACAACUUUCUUAAGAAACUACAGAAGUUUCCUCAGGUUUUCUGCAGUUUUCACUAGAGUAAGUAAAUUCCAAGCAAUCUAUGCUAGGAGACAUUAUAACAACUUCGUUUUUUGAAUGAUUUAUUUUAUUUAUUCAAUAUAAGUACACUGUAGCUGUCAUCAGACACACCAGAAGAGGGCAUCAGAUCUCAUUACAGUAGAUAGUUGUGAGCCACCAUGUGGUUACUGGGAAUUGAGCUCAGGACCUCUGGAAGGGCAGUCAGUGCUCUUAACGGCAGAGCCAUCUCUCCAGCCCCAAAUUGGGACUUUAUAUGUGGACAUUAUCAUGUCCAAAUGUGGGGGUUUGUUCCCAACAAUGAUACUGUGCACAUUAAUCUGUAGAGUGUUAAUGAAAGACUUGUAAUGAAGACAAGAAAGAAUAGCUCGUCCUCAGGCGAUGAGUGAGCCUGACUGUAGUAGUGUUCUUUGUCUACCAAGAAGAGUAAAUGUUUUUCAUGCUGUCGUGUGUAAUGGCUGCACACCAUGUUCAGUUCUGAGCUUGGAGAUGAGGUACUUACAUAUGACGAUUUUUUACUGUCCUCAGUGCUUUCCCUUGCACUUGCUCAAAUCCAGUAUCGCUACAUAUGAAAAGCAUUCAGGAGAACGGUUUGUUUGGAUUUGAGAAUUAGAAGUAACAGUUAUGGAAGAAGGAGAGAGAGAACCGAUUCAACCUUUGUGUGUGGGUGUGAGUGUGUGGGCGCUCACACACACGUGCGCAUCUGCACUCACAUAUCACACACUUAAAUUAAUGAAGGAUAAUGGUACAUUCACGAUCCCUCUCUUCCCGUCACUGAGGCAGGUAGAUUGCUGCCUUCAUAAUUUUUGAAUUCAGAUUCUAGCACAUGAAAUAAUGCCUCAGUAAUGUUUAGGUGCCCGGUUAUUGACAUAAAAUAUUUUUUUCAUUACAACUAAUGAGUAAUCAGAAUUGUCCAAUACCAUGUAUAAUUUGACAAAGGUCAAGUCGCUUGCAAAUGCAAAACCCUUAUCAUUUUAUCACAAAAUGCAAAGCAGUCCUUAAAAUUUUGGGAUUCCUAAGUGGCACUGCCUAGCUUCUAAGGAUUUGUUAUCUAGGAAGGUCAGAUACAAUUCUCUUUGAUAUGCAAUGUCCUUGACCUUUUAGAAAUGCCUGUUCCUGCAGAGAUAAACCUCAGGUUCUUAUCUUUUACAAAUGAGCAAGGCUACGGUAGUAAUAACCCUAAAACCAACAUCAUUUGCUUGUCGACCGGUGAUUUGCCGAUGUGGUUUAAUACUUGUGUUCUAAGCUAUGUUCCAUUUUGCCUAUUAGUUUAUUGUGUAAGGUCAUCUACUGAUAUACUGAAUCACACUAUCAAGCUUUUAACAAUUGUUAGAUAGACUGAGUUCAAAUGUACAGCUAAGCUUUGUUAGUAGUUUCUCAUUAUUGGCAUUGGAAUAAUUUGACUGCUUUUAAGAGUGUUAUUAUUACCAACACCCUUUUAUGGUAAUUGUGGGACUGUUUUUCUUGUUCAUGGUAACGUAUAUGCUCUGUGUUACUGCACAGUAAGUGUGUCUUUAUGGAACGCUGUAGUAGGAUAACUCGGAAAAAUAUACGAGUCCAAAAAGUAUGUGAGGCUGUGACUUUAACCUGAUACUUCCUGCAAUAAAUAAAGUCUAUGAAAGUUAUGUUUCAUACAAAAAAGAGGAUAGCAGAAUACUGUUCAUGUGCUCUGUUUUCUCAAUGAUUUCACAUGUGUUGCUAACCUUUGAGUCCAAAAUAUUUUUUAUGAAUUGUUAGUGUUAGUUUUGCUUAUGUUCACUAACAAUCUCUUAACGAUAUGUAAGAGUUAAGUUCAUAAGAAUAGUGAAAUAUGAGAUUUAGACAGUCACACACACCCAGUGGGCUUUAUUUAAUGCCAAAUCUGUGCCAAAGAGUUCUACCAAAACUGAACAUGUGCCAAGAUCCAGAUACUUAGUUAGUGAACAGAGUUCCAGAGUGUGCUGAUUACAUGCUUAAAACUGAGUUGUUGUUGUUAUUGUUGUUUAUAUUUUUAAUGUUGUUAUUGGGUGGUUUGUUCAUUUUGGAUUUUUGUUUUCAGUUGUUGUUUCUCCCAAUCAGGAUAGUGAGGGGAAUUUUAUUAGGUGCUCAUUUCUUUAGCCAAGCUGACAUGACAGUGACUGUUGUCCCUUUGUAACCACCAGGUGUCUUGGUAAGGGGAAACUGCCUUUAUUACUCCAAAUAGCUGGCUUUCUUCAACUUUGAGCUUGGUUUUGGGACUUGGGUUGGUGGUGGACUGUUUUAUUCAAUAUUUUUAUAGAUAAAUGCUAUGUACUUCAUUUUUUCAUCUCUGCUUCCUGCUCGGGAGGGGAACAUCAUACCCUUGGGGUCUGGAGUGUGAUAGAGGAGGGCACCUGACUUCUUAUCUUGCUAUUCAGAAAUGUUCAGGAGAAGUUGGAACGCCUGCCUUUAAUCCCAUCACUCCAACCGCAGAGGCUGACGGAUAUGUGAGGUCAAGGACAGAUUGAUCUACAGAGCUAGUUCUAGGACAACCUGGGCUACACAGGAAAAUGCUGUCUCAUAAAGAGAACCAAAAAGCAACAAGUAGUCCGUGUAUCCUAGGCCCAUGGGUUUUUUGUCACUGCAGCAAGUAGUCGUGCUAGAAUAGAAGACAAGUGAUUGAGGCUGUGAGACCGAUGCUAUGCUGUUUAUCCUUCAUGUGCAUAUUGAGUGCUCUGUAGUGGCCUGAUUCCAUUUAUCCUACUACUGAGGUGUGUAUGUGGCACAAGAACCAGCUCAUUGUCUUAUUGAAAACCCAUCAAAAAUAAUUUGUUUCUCCUUACAAUUUUGUAGGGCGUUACAUUUUCAAUAUCUUGGACUGUGUCACCUUACUCUCAUGAAUUUAACUUUCUCUUUUUUUUUUUGCUUUCAUAAAUUUUUUUAUUAGAAGAUGAACAGUAGCUCCCUAAUCAGGAAAAUCGACUUUACGCUUUAACCUCUUCAGUUUGCCAGUGAAACUUUGAUUUCACUCCUUUUCAUGUUCCCAUUUAAUGAUCACUACCACAGCCUUCUGAGGCAUCCCAGAGAGGUUUUAUAGGCAGUUAUCUAACAGCAAAGCACACGUAUAAGAAUUUGUUGCAUCAGGAACGCUACUCUAAUUAUAUAUCUAAUUUCUAUGUAGAAAACAAACUGAGAAACCCUGCCUAUCUGGGACAUAGCUUUUAGGAGACCAUUGCUGUUCUGUGCUCGAUUGCUCAAUGGUAGAGCACUUCCCUGGCAUGUGUGUUGCACAGGGUUUAAUCUCACACACAGCAAAAGGAAUAUUAUUCAUUUCUACCUGCACAUUUGUUUUUGGAAUAGCUAACUAUGAAAAUUGCAACUAGUACUUUAUAAACGUAAUCUGUAUAAUGGGACUAUCCCAUCAGGGUUACUUUCCCUUUGUGUACCUUAAAGUAAUCCAAGGCCAGCCUUAUCUACAAAGCCAGUUCCUGAACAGCCAGGGCCACCUAGUCUCAAUUGGGGGGGAAAAAGAAUGAAAAAGAAGAUUGAUACUCUCUUACUGUGUUAGGUAAUGUAUCAUUUUCACAAACUUCAAUUGAUGGUAAUGAAGGAUUUAGGUUUCAGGAACAGAUUGUCAGAGAAAUUUGUAUCCAGACAUCCUUAUUGGCCUUGAAUUCAUUUAGAGGCAUUUUUGCUCCUUCUCUAAAUGGCGUACAUUGCCAGUUGUGUUUAGUUCAGUCUGGGUGGGAGUCAGGCUCCCCACACUCGAGCUACUGUUCAUCUUCUAAUUAGCUUAGAGAAAUGACAACACAAUGUCAUUUUUAAACCUUUAACAGUGUGAAUCUAGAUAGAAUUAAGUGUCUUCUGUUUCAAGUUGCUUAUUACCCUAUAAUUUUAAACCCCCAGCCCAAGACUAUUGAUAACACUGUCAAGAGGUGGCUUUGGAUUCAGAACCUCUGAAUUAACUGAUUUAGAGCCUUCAGGGCUUUUUCAGAACCUCUUUCCCUCUCAGAUCACUUUUUCAUGUUGACCUAGAUGUUUUUCUACAGUUCAGGUCAUUUACUAUUAGUAUCCAGUUCUCUCAGUAGUCAGGAUAGUGAAUUAGCUACAGAUCUAUGUAACUAGCAGUUACAUAGAUCAGUACAGAAAUUUGGCUUAUAUACUCUUGAGGGACAAUAUGUACAAAAUGGUCUAUGGUUUAGAGGAAAAAUUGUUUCCUAUGUCUAAAGAUGACAGACAUCCAGGUCUAUGUGUUAAACCUUAAAGACUGACUGGAGUCACUAAGAAAUUUGGGAUGGCAUACCUAGAGGAGAGUUUGACAGGUAAGGAUUUUUCUGUCCAGCAUAGCUGCCAUCCUCUUCUUCCCUAGAUGUCUGGUUUCUUCUCAGUAGAAGACAUUAAAUCCUUGAGUAGCCAUAUCUAGGAAAUGCUGAUCCUCAGUGAGACAGGGAUAGCAGCGAUGCUAUGGUCUGCCCUAUCCUUCUCAUCCGAAAAUAUUCUAUUUUCACAGGCAGGCUUUCUCCAGAAUUUCAUUGUUCUUCCAAAUAACAUGUGAAGUCUUUUGAAGUAUUUAGACACUAAAAUGUUUAUUACUUUACUUUGAAAUAUUAAAUAUGUUUAAUAUUUAUUCUUGUUUUUCUGAUCUCAAAGCAUUAUAAAACAAAGUAUGUUGGCACAUGCCUAGGAUCCCAGCAUUUAAGGCGCUUAUACAGGAACACCGUCUUGACUUUUAGGCCGGUCUGAGUUUCUUAAGAACAAAAUCCAUGAAGAUAUUUUCUGUGUAGACCUUUACUGUUGAUCUUUACUAUUCAAAUAAUGCAUUAAUACCGAGUAUGUUUUUAUUUAAUAAUCUCACUAACUUGGAGGACAUCAAGGGAAGACUUUGAAAGGGAAGCUCUAAUGUGGCCAUGCAAACAGUGACUGUAGGGUUUGGGCCUUGUCCAUUAGCUAGCCUGUUCGAUUAUUUCACUAAAUACUAGCUUACUUAUGGUUCCUGUUAAUGUUGGAGCUGACAAUGCCAUGAAUUAAUAGAAGAAAGUUAAUUACUAUUAUAACUUUUGAAUGGUCAAUGGUGUGUGGGGAGGGGUCAUGGACGGUUUCAAUGAGCCACGAUUAUGAAGUGAGUCCAUGCAGGAAACUAGAUGAUUCUUCUGUUCAUGCUCUUGAUUAGUAAGCUGUUGCCUUUCUUCUUUGUUCUAAGUUAAAAGCUGUUGAACAGUUGUGUUAUAGCUGAAUAAAGGUUUUUGUAUAAAUACAGAAAAUUCUUUUUGUGAACUGGUCACAGCUGACCUGAAGCUCAAUUUUAACUAGGAACUAGCUAUGUUAAUCCCUUAGUUCUUGCGACAGUCAACGCAGGAGAGCAAGAACCAACAGAUGACCUUGGUGAUCAGGAAAACUUCAUGGAUCCCGACAGCAGCGUGGAGUGGUGUUCCUCUGAAGAAAUCCUACUCGGAUGGAUAUAAUACAACCUGCUAAGUGUUCUAGCACUUAGCACGUUGUAUUAUUAUUGUCCGAGGCUAUGGCUCUCGUCUAUCAGAAUAAAUCCGUAAGGGCAAGGAUGGUGACUUUGUAUUCACAGUACCUAAUCCGGUGCACACUGUAGGCCUCAUUAAAUGUUUGUUGAAUGAAAAAAUGAAUCAUCAACAGACAUUAAUUGGGCGCCUGCUCUGUGAUCUCCAUGAGCUCAGCUUCUUCCUGCCGAUGGCCUUCAACGUCCAAGCUCUCUACAGCGUGCUUGCUUCCGAAGUUCAUUUCUGUACUCUGUGUAGUGUAAUGAUAGUGGAUAUAUUUUAUCUUUUGAAUCAAUUCCAACUUACUGAUAAUGUAUAUGUCUCAACUGUGUUUUAUGAAAAGUAUUCCAAAGCUGGUUCUUUUCUAUACUGACGGUGUGAAAGCGAUAGUAGCCACAAGUGUAAUGUUUUCUAUGAAAUACUGCAUCUGUCUGCCUGUCUUCUGGAAUUGCCUGCUUGUACUGUUGCAUAGCUGCUGUUGUUACUAUAUAAUUGCUACCAAUUACUCCCUAGGUUGGACCACUGAUCAUUGAGUAGGAGCUUCAUCUUUAAAAUUUGGGGUGUGCAGUUAUGAACUGGAAAAGGCUGCAUCGUGAAUGAAAACACAGUGCAGAGUGGGACCCGUGUUGCUCUCUGGAUAGAACAACAAGAGUGGCGCCCCAAGAAGAUGGAGAGUGACGUUUUGGGAGUUUCCCAUUGGAGCAAAACAUUUUCUUACUGUGUAGUCCUGAGUGGCCUGGAAGUUGCUGUCUACACAAGCUGACCUUAAACUCACAGCGAUCUGUUUCAGCCUCCUAACUGUUGGGAUUGGAGGCGUGAGCCACGUGCCUGACCUGGAUUAUUUUAUGAAGCCAUUUUAUAAGUGCCAAGGACUUAUGCCUACUUUUAUUAUUCAUGUGAGAACAUUUAUGUGCCAUUUAAACAUUUUACUACAUUAAUGUUAUAACUUUGGAAAUUCUAGUCAAGGAAAGAGCUACAGGUCAGGGUUUCAAGCACAUAAUUUUCUAUACAUUAUAUUUAGUUACAACUUAAAGAUGGGGGUUGGGGAUUUAGCUCAGUGGUAGAGCACUUGCCGAGCAAGCACAAGGCCCUGGGUUCGGUCCUCAGCUCC
rnacentral:lncRNA from 1 species